UGCCUGUCUUGCCAGCUGGGAGUGGGGGGACACCUUCAGCCACGGCCCCCCGUGUCUUUUCUAGGGUCCACGAGGGCCACCUGGUCCCCCAGGGCCACCUGGCGUGCCCGGUUUGCCAGGGGAGCCAGGGCGUUUUGGGAUGAACUGCACAGACCUGCCAGGACCACCUGGACUGCCGGGCAGGGACGGGAUCCCUGGGCCCCCGGGGCCAGUGGUAGGUCUGUGGGGUGGCCAAGGAGACUCAUCCCCCAUCCCAGGGCCACUCUGUGGCCAUGGGGGGCUUGGUGCCCACCAGCCCUCCGGGGUUUUCCUGGGCUGGAACCAACUCCUGGGAUCUUACAGGGUCCUCAGGGUCCUCCAGGAAGAGAUGGGGAGGUUGGGCAGUCGGGGCCCAAAGGAGAGCAGGGAGAUAUGGGUGACCUUGGCCUCCCUGGCCUACCAGGACCCAAGGGCAACAAAGGAGAAAUGGGACCAGCAGGACCCCCGGGAGAAAUGGGCUUAGCUGGCCUUCCUGGGCCCAUCGGACCCCAAGGGCAGCCAGGACCCCCUGGCCCCCCAGGACCACCAGGGCCAGGCUACGAGGCUGGAUUUGUGAGUGGUCACUGCAGUGAUGGGAUGGGAUGAGCUGGAGCCAGGC
rnacentral:lncRNA from 1 species